rnacentral:rRNA from 1 species
UGGGGAAUAUUGGACAAUGGGCGCAAGCCUGAUCCAGCAAUGCCGCGUGUGUGAAGAAGGCCUGCGGGUUGUAAAGCACUUUCAGUGGGGAAGAAAAGCUUAAGGCGAAUACCCUUGAGUCUUGACGUAACCCACAGAAGAAGCACCGGCUAACUCCGUGCCAGCAGCCGCGGUAAUACGGAGGGUGCGAGCGUUAAUCGGAAUUACUGGGCGUAAAGCGCGCGUAGGCGGUUUAGUAAGUCGGAUGUGAAAGCCCCGGGCUUAACCUGGGAAUUGCAUUCGAUACUGCUUGACUAGAGUACGGUAGAGGGAAGUGGAAUUCCGGGUGUAGCGGUGAAAUGCGUAGAUAUCCGGAGGAACACCAGUGGCGAAGGCGACUUCCUGGGCCAGUACUGACGCUGAGGUGCGAAAGCGUGGGGAGCAAACAGGAUUAGAUACCCGGGUAGUCC